AAAAGGUAAAAGAACACAAACCACACUUUAAUUGAGCUAAAACAAGAUGAAAUGUAAGACAACAUUGAGGUGAAAUAAGGCUGGUAAGAUAGGCCAAUAACCCUCAAUAAAACAAAUUAUAGGCUAGAAAUUAUGUCAAAUUACUCAAAAUGCAAGGCAGAUUUUGAGGAGUACUAGUAAACAAGGCCUUACCGUUACAUGUUCUUUAUUCAUUGCUUCCCAUAACAUCCUUUUCAAUUGCAUCUCCUUUUUGUUGUUAAGAUAUCCAACAAUCUGAAAAGCAUAAAAAUUUGCUCAAAUGAAUCUCCAACUCAGGGCUCUAGUCAUAAAUGCUUGAUUCCCAUUCAUAUUCUGAACUAUGCAUCCUUUUUAUUUUCACAAGAUGUAAUUCUUACUGACUUAUCAGCCUUGAAAAUGUUAGAUAUUAUCAACGACCAAAAAGAUUUCAUUAACAGAGUUCAGCAAGGUACAGGACAAAAGAAGAAGCAUUAGAAAUUUCCAGGGUGCAUAGAAGUUUUGAUUAUUCAAACAAAAGUAAAGGUAUUCUCAUGCAAUGCAUGAAAGUGAACUUACCUCUAUAACAAAAACACUUGCAGGAACCAUUGCCAGACUUUAAACAAAUAAUGCAUGUGAAAAAAAAAGCAUAUACCUCAGAAUCAUCAAUAUCGGAAAGACUUUCUGACCCGUCAGAUUUUGUUCUACUUCUUUUCUUGUACCUUUGUCUUUUACUAGAAGAAUUCUUACUGAAGUCCUGAUGAACGGCAGAAGCAUCUGAGACAUAAAGAAAUUACAUAAUCUAAAACUUCUGCAACUACCCAUUGUCUUAAUCCAAAAGAUUCUGCUUAAGAAAUUUCAUACACAAAAGUUGUGAGAACAACAUUAAAGAUUACCGCCAGAUGCUCUUAGUUGCAAAUUUCUAGGUUGGGUAGCAACUGCACCUCUGUGGGAAGUCCCAACUUCAACUGUCUACAAAACAAAUAAAAUAAUUAAGAAAUGUGAGAUUUACAAUAACUGGGAUCUAUUUUAUAUGACUUCUAGUUGAAUGAAACUUUUAUCAGCAUGAUCUUACAGUUUGAUAUAAGAAUAAAGCUUCCCACAAACCAACACUCUGCUGGUAAAGGAAUCAGCUCUUGAUAUCAUUUUUGAAAAGGAAGUUUCCAUCUUUUAUUGAAAAAAUAAUAAUAAUAAAAAGGAGGAAAAAAUUAAAAAUAUUGAAAAUGCCAAUGUGACCAAGCAAAUAAAUAAAUCGGGCAUUUUGGCUAACCAAUUUGGACAAAAAGGCCUAGAAAGGAUAAAUGAUUGCCUAUAUACUAUGAAAUAAUAAUAUCAACGCGUAGAAUACGCUGCAACAAGUGAAUGAGUUUGGGCGUUUCAAUACUAUCAAAUAACCAUAUGUUUCUAAUUGAAUAAUCAACAUGUAUAAAAUCAUCCAAUCUUAGCAAUACUGUACAAUUUCAUACGCUGAAAAUUCAUGGAAAUAUACGAAUUAAAGGAAAAAAAGGAGAAAGAAAGAAAUUACUGUUGUUUCUAGAGUUUGAAUUCACUCCUUCGAAAACAAUCCAACAGAAUUACCUGAAUGCAAGAAUUGAUCAACAGGAUCCAAAAUUGUAAUUCGAGCCCACCGACUUCACGAUGUUUCCUUAAAACGAAUUUGCUGCCUUCAAUGGUGCUAAAGGCAUCCAACAAUCGUUUUCCAGGAUAGAACGAAUUUUCGUCUCCUACGGAAGCAGCACUGCAGUCUGUAGGAGUUCCAACGAACUCAACGAAAUGCUUUUUAUUUCGAGACAAUAUCAGAACGAGAGAGAGGGAAAUGAGAUUCAAAGCAUAGAAAGUUUGCAAUGAAAAUGGUGUGAAUUUUCUGGUAGAAAGGCUGGCUAUUUAUAGACUUGUUCAUGGCCAUUCGAACAGUCAUCACCUUUUAGACAAGCUUCAAAAAUCCGAACAGACAUACUGUUCUUAAAAGUCGUGUCUGUUAAGUCGGUUAACAGUUGGUUGUUUGGUCGGUAAACAGUCGACUGUUUGGUCGCUAAACAGUCGAAACAGUCGACUGUUAAAAGAAAAUAGAACACUCGGAAUAAGCCAAAAUUUAAAUUUCAUUUUGUACCCAAGAAUUUGAUUAUUUACAAUUUGGCCCAAAAUUUUAAAUAAAUUUUGUCCAAAAAGUUAAUAUAGUGUAAAGGUCCACCCACACCCGCACCCGCACCGGACCGGACUCGGGCUCGUGCCAUGCCGAGCCGGCCGGUCGGACGGACGACUGCGGCGGCGCGCGCGUGUGGGUUUAUGACCGAACCCAAUAGGAUAUAGGUCUUCCCCCUUCCAAAGACUAUUGGUACCCCCUGGGGUCCAAAUCCAAUUCCAAACUUUCACCUUAUAAACCACACCAAAGUUUCCUAACUUUCCAAUGUGGGAUAAGUGUUUGGCAAAUCAAAUUCUUCCAUAAUCCUUAGUUUAUGUGGGUUACUUUAACACUUAAUAUUUCAUUCAAUUUUAAAUGGUUUUCGAUAAAUAAAUAUAUCACGUUAAUCAUCUCGUGGAGUAGAACGUGAAUAUGCUAGGUCCCGUAUUAUUUAAAAGGUGGGUCCCACUGAAAUUUGGGCUCAAAGUUGUCCGAUUAAACCAUUUUUUCUAACAAUCCCCCACAUGAAUGAAAUAUGUUGGCCUUUAUUCCAAACGAUAACAUGUGAUAUGUUUUCUCAAAGAGAAAAUUGAAGAAGAUUGCAUCUGGAUAAGUAGUCAAUGACUUUGAAUUUUCCCUAGUAAAAUCUAUCGGAAUUCCUUAGCCAAUCAGUAGCAAAUUGUUUUGAACAGUCAGCCGUUUAUGAAAACCUAGACAAUAGAAGUCACACAGUUUUUCUUCGAACACAGCUGGUUCUCACGUUUGUGUCCAUUUUGGCCUUGGACACCUCCUAGUUCAUGAGUGAUUUUUAGAGAAUUCAUGUUUACCUAAUUCGCUUAGAAGCGGCCCCUUCUCACUCACAUAGGUGAUUUCCAUAAAGAGUAAUUUGCUAUACUCCACUUGAACAAAUCAAGAUAUAGAAAUCAUUAAAAGCGUAUCUUAACCUAUUUCGCGACAGCUGGGCACUAGCUCAUCAUAGGAAUGGGUAGAAGUAAAAUCUUCCCAGUGCAUACUAAGUUUUUCAUAGUUCGGUUGUCCCAUUGAACCUAGAUCUUGGGAUUUCCAGUCAACUAGGUUGGGUUGCCACUAUGAAAACUUUUGAUUAUUUUAUUAGUUUUAAUCUCAUCCCCUUUGAUGAACUUUCGACUUGCUCUCUUGUUAAACUUUUAGUUAGCGGAUCCGCAAUAUUCUCCUUUGAUUUCACAUACUCUAUAGAGAUAAUGCCUGUAGAGAGCAAUUGUCUAACAGUAUUGUGUCUACGACGUAUAUGUCGAGAUUUACCGUUGUACAUUGCAUUUUGUGCCCUUCCAAUUGCUGAUUGACUAUCACAAUGGAUACAUAUAGCAGGCACAGGUUUUAUCCAACAUGGAAUAUCUUCUAGAAAGUUUCGUAGCCAUUCGGCUUCUUCUCCAGCUUUGUCUAAUGCAAUGAAUUCAGAUUUCAUUGUUGAUCUAGCUAUACAUGUCUGUUAUGAAGAUUUCCAUGAUAUUGCAGCACCUCCAAGUGUAAAGACAUAUCCACUUGUUGAUUUUGAGUCUUUAGUAGUUGAUAUCCAAUUUGCAUCACAGUAUCCUUCAAGUACUGCUAGAUAUCUCGAAUAGUGCAAUCCAAAAUUUUGGGUAUGUUUUAAAUACCCUAAAACUCUAACAAUAGCUUUCCAAUGAUCAGUGCUUAAAUUACUUGUAUAUCGACUUAGCCUACUAAUUGAAUAGGCAAUAUCAAGUCAAGUGCAAUUCAUAACAUACAUUAAACUGCCAAUGAUACGAGAGUAUUCCAAUUGAGACUUACUAUCACCAGUAUUGAAAACAAGAUGCAUACUAACAUCCAUAGGUGUUUUCAUAGGAAUAAUAUUAUAUUUCUUGAAUUUAUCAAGAAUCUUCUCAAUGUAGUGUGAUUGAGACAAUAUGAGACCAUCAGAUGUUCUAGAAAUUUUAAUUCCUAAUAUAACAUUGGCCACACCUAAAUCCUUCAUUUCAAAUUUACUUGUUAGCAUCCUUUUUGUAGUUUGAAUUAUGGUAUCAUUGUUACCCAUAAUCAACAUGUCAUCUACAUAUAAACAUACCAUGACAUAUCCAUUUGGAGUGUUCCUGACAUAAACACAUUUGUCACACUCGUUAAUUUUGAAACCAUUUGACAUCAUAACCAUGUCAAAUUUUUCAUGCCAUUUCUUAGGAGCUUGCUUUAAUCCAUAUAAUGAUUUAACAAGUCGACAUACUUUCUUUUCUUGUCCUGAGGCCACAAAUCCUUCAGGUUGCUCCAUAUAAAUUUCUUCAUCCAAUUCCCCAUUCAAAAAUGCCGUUUUAAUAUCCAUUUGAUGUAUAUCCAAACCAUUCAAUGCUGCUAUUUCAAUAAGCAUACGUAUGGAUGUGAUUCUUGUUACAGGAGAAUAGGUAUCGAAAUAAUCAAGACCUUCUUUUUGCUUAUAGCCUUUAGCGACAAGUCUUGCUUUAUAUUUGUCAAUUGAUCCAUCUGCUUUCAUUUUCCUUUUGAAAAUCCAUUUACAUCCCAAAGGCUUAUUACCGGGAGGGAGGUCUACUAAUUCCCAAGUAUGAUUUUGUAGUAUGGAUUCAAUUUCACUAUGAACAGCUUCUUUCCAAUAUGAAGCUUCGGUUGAUGACAUAGCCUCCUUAAAACUCCGAGGUUCAUUUUCUAACAAAUAUGUUAGAAAAUCAGGCCCAAAGGAGGUUGAAGUCCUAGCCCUCUUGCUUCGUCUAGGUUGUUCAUUUAUAGAUUCUUGAUCUAUAGUCUCUUCGUUUUCACGAGAUCUCUUUUGUGAAUUUGAUUCACCUUGCAUGUUAUAAGGAAAAGUAUUUUCGAAAAAUGUAGCAUACCUUGAUUCAAUAAUUGUAUUAACAUGCAUAUCAGGUAUUUCAGACUUAUAUACCAUAAAUCUGUACGCACUACUAUGGUAGGCAUAACCAAUGAAUACACAAUUAAUGGUUUUAGGUCCUAUCUUAACCCUUUUAGGUUUAGGAACUACUACCUUAGCCAAACAUCCCCAUACCUUCAAGUAUUUAUAAUUAGGUUUGUGACCUUUCCAUAUUUCAUAAGGUACCUUUUGCGUUUUUCAAUGUGGUAGUUUGUUAAGAGUAUAGUUGGCAGAAAGCAAGGCUUCCCCCCACAAGUUCUGCGGUAAUCCAGAACUUAUUAACAUAGCAUUCAUCAUCUCCUUCAAUGUUCGAUUCUUGCGUUCAGCAAUACCAUUAGAUUGAGGAGAAUAAGGCGCGGUAGUUUAAUGAAUAAUUUCGUGUUCCGAACAGAAUUUCUCAAAUGGUGAAUCAUAUUCACCACCUCUAUCACUUCUUAUGGCCUUAAUUUUUUUGCUAAGUUGAUUUUCAACUUCUAACUUAUAGUGUUUAAACACUUCAAUUGCUUCGUCUUUGCUUUUGAGCAAAUACACAUAGGAAUAUUGAGUACAAUCAUCGAUAAAAGUAAUAAAGUACUUAUUACCUCCUCUAAUUUGAACAAAUUUUAAAUCACAUAUGUCGGUGUGAAUUAAAUCUAGGGGUUCGGUACUUCUUUCAACAGAACGAAAGGGUAGACGUGACAUUUUAGCUCCUACACAUAUAUCGCAUUUGUGAUUAGGAUUUAAAUCACACUUUGGUAAUAAAUCUAAUUUGAUUACUCUACGCAAAGUGUUAUAACUUGUAUGUCCUAAUCGUUCAUGUCAAAUGUUAAAUGACUCAAGCAAGUAAGAAGAAGAUGUAUUCUUAUUCAUAAUUGGAGGUACAACAGUUAUUACAUUCAAUUUAAAGAGCCCCUCAUUCAGGUAGCCUUUUCCUAUAAACAUUUCAUUCUUUGAUAGUACAAAUUUGUCCGAGACAAAUACUAGUUUAAACUCAUUCUUACUUAGUAGAGAACCAGAUACCAAGUUUUUCCUAAUGUCGGGCACAUGAAAAACGUCAUUCAGAGUGAGCUCUUUUCCACUUGUCAUUUUCAUCACUAUCUUCCCAUGUCCUUCUACCUUGGAAGAUGAUGAGUUUCCCAUGUAAAGAUGUUCAUCAUGAUCCAUUGCUUUGUAGGUAGAGAACAUCUCGCGGUUUGAGCAUAUGUGACGAGUAGCUCCAGUAUCUACCCACCACUCUUUAGUGUUUCCAAUUAAGUUGCAUUCAGAGACGACCGCAGAAAGAUUCAUGUCUUGUACCUUAUCAGUGAGGUUCUCAUGUUCUGUUACAUUGGCCUGGUUAGUUUUUCCCUUCACAUUUUUUGGCUUUCGACAAUCCUUGGAUCGAUGUCCUGCCUUGCCACAAUUGUAACAAUUGCCUUUAAACUUUUUAGCAGUUUUUGAAGAACCAAUUUGUCCUUCCCCAUUGUGCUUCCUCUUUUUGCUUGUCUUGAAGCCUCCUUCUACAAUGUUGGCUUUUGAUUCCAUCAAAGUAGAUGCACCAUUCCUUUUUUUCCGUUUUGCGAUUGUCUUCUUCUAUUCUCAAACGGACAAUGAUAUCUUCAAGUUUCAUUUCCUUCCGCUUGUGCUUGAGGUAAUUCUUAAAAUCCUUCCACGAAGGUGGUAAUUUCUCAAUUAGUGCAGCGACUUGGAAUGAUUCACUUAGUUUCAUUCGUUCGGCAUGGAUGUCGCUAAGUAUGAUCUAAAGUUCUUGAACUUGGGAUAUGACAGUCUUGUUGUCAACCAUUUUAUAAUCCAAAAAACAAUCGACAAUGAAUUUCUUCGUGCCGGCAUCUUCGGUUUGUACUUUGUGUCCAAAGAUUCCCACAGUUCUUUUGUAGACUUAGCAUUGUAGUACACAUUAUAUAAUGUGUUAUCCAGUCCAUUAAGCACAUAAUUUCUGCAUAAGAAAUCAAAAUGCUUCCAUGCAUCAACCGCAGCCAAUUUUUCAGCAUCACUGUCUUGCUCGGUAUAUGAAGGCGCGUUUUCUUUGAGAUAUUUAGCCAGAUUUAAUGUCGUCAGAUAAAAAAGUAUUUUUUGUUGCCAACACUUAAAAUCUGACCCAUUAAACUUUUCUGAUUUUUCCCCGGUCGUAUUCGGGAGUGUGGUACCAGAAGUUGCCAUUUUUGAAUGCAAUCAGAAGAUCAACGAUAAGAAGGAGUAGAAACAGAAACAAAUAAUAAUUGAAAAAGGAAAUUCGUUUUAAGAUUGUUGUUUCUAGAGUUUGAAUUCACUCCUUCGAAAAUAAUCCGACAGAAUUACCUGAAUGCAAGAAUUGAUCAACAGGAUCCAAAAUUGUAAUUCGAGCCCACCGACUUCACGAUAUUUCCUUAAAACGAAUUUGUUGCCUUCAAUGGUGCUAAAGGCAUCCAGCAAUCGUUUCCCAGGAUAUAACGAAUUUUCGUCUCCUACGGAAGCAGCACUGCAGUCUGUAGGAGUUCCAACGAACUCAACGAAGUGCUUUUUACUUCGAGACAAUAUCAGAACGAGAGAUAGAGGGAAAUGAGAUUCAAAGCACAGAAAGUUUGCAAUGAAAAUGGUGUGAAUUUUGUGGUAGAAAUGCUGGCUAUUUAUAGACUUGUUCGUGGCCAUUCGAACAGUCAUCACCUUUCAGACAAGCCUCAAAAAUUCGAACAGACAUACUGUUCUUAAAAGUCGUGUCUAUUAAGUCAGUUAACAGUCGGCUGUUUGGUCGGUAAACAGUCGACUGUUUGGUCGGUAAACAGUCGAAACAGUCGACUGUUAAAAGAAAAUAAAACACCCAGAAUAAGCUAAAAUUUAAAUUUCAUUUUGUACCCAAGAAUUUGAUUAUUUACAAUUUGGCCCAAAAUUUUAAAUAAAUUUUGUCCAAAAAGUUAAUAUAGUGUAAAGGUCCGCCCGGACCCGCACCCGCACCGGACCGGACCGGACUCGGACUUGGACUCGGACUCGGGCUCGGGCACGGGCUCGUGCUAGUGUCGUGCCGAGCAGAGCCGAGCCGGUCGGUCGGACGGACGGCGGCGGCGCGCGCGCGUGGGUUUAUGACCAAAUCCAAUAGGAUAUAGGUCUUCCCCCUUCCAAAGACUAUUGGUACCCCUUGGGGCCCAAAUCCAAUUCCAAACUUCCACCUUAUAAACCACACCAAAGUUUCCUAACUUUCCUAUUUGGAAUAAGUGUUUGGCAAAUCAAAUUCUUUCAUAAUCCUUAGUUUAUGUGGGUUACUUUAACACUUAAUAUUUCAUUCAAUUUUAAAUGGUUUUCGAUAAAUAAAUAUAUCACAUUAAUCAUCUCGCGGAGUAGCACGUAAAUAUGCUAGGUCCCGUAUUAUUUAAAAGUUGGGUCCCACUGAAAUUUGGGCUCAAAGUUGUCCCAUUAAACCAUUUUUUCCAACAAUUACGCGUACCGGUGGUUCCACAGGGUUUUUGGAACUCCGUGUAAUCUCCAUUGUAACGGAUAAAUUCCACUGAAGCUUCAAGAAAAUACGCUCAUAUUUAUGAUAGUUUUGGAGGUGAAGGAGAAGGAAAAAGCCUUGACAGGAUUAUAAAGGUUUGCGUUCGACUUCAAAUUGACCAAAGUACCCUUGACCUUGAUUUUCUUGGAUUGAAGAUUCUUUUAAAAUCUUCUAUAGGAGGUUUUCCUUGAAAAUUACUUUCCUAAUCCUUAUCUUGAGGAUUUUGCGAACAGUAAUUAGUCUGGAUGAUUUUAGAGGGUAUUUUAGGUAAUAAAGAGAUAUUCAAAAUCGAAUUUACUUUUGUAUGUAAAAAUAAAAAUAACAAGAAGGAAAACGAAAAGAGAAAUAUUUAAUUGAUAAAGCCAGAACAAUCAUAGUGGGAAAUAGAUCAGUGGUGCAGAGGUUGGAAGCAACAAUGGGCAUUCUUGUCACCAGUGAGGGUGAUAAUCCUGCUUAUGUGAGCUUCAAUCAGAUAACAUGUCAUCUCAGUAUUAUGUAAUAAAACUAGUUCUAUGCUCAUGCAAUGCAUGAGAGGCAUAUUUUUUUAAGGCAGUGUUAGCGUGUUUAGUGUUACCAGAAAUCCUUGACAUCUCAUUAAUAUUGGUGGGGCAAAAUACUUUUAUAUUUUGAUUUUUGCUACUAUUAGGGAGUAGAAAUAAUUCUCAAGGAUAGUAAAAUAAUUUUAUAUAUUAUUUGCAAGUAAAAGUAGUGCUCGGUGGCACUCUAUCGAGUAUCUACAUUCUGAAGGAGAAAAAAGAUAACAAAAUACUCAAAGCAACCUUUAUUCCUAUCUCCAAAACAUUAUGACCGUUUUAUUGUCAAAAAAGAAACGGAUGUUUUUCCCUUGUUUUCGAAGGAGAACGAUAAUAAGAUGUUGGGCUCAUAUUUAUUUCCUUACUUCUUUUUAUUUAUUUUUAUUUAUUAUUUGUUCUCUUCGAGUCUGGUUCUGAAUGCCAUGUAAGAUCAUCUUCAACCAACAUAUGAGAAGGCAAGUCAUCCUAGCUCAAUGCUUUUAUGCUACAACAUCGGGUUAAAAUGUUCGGAGCAAAAUGGGAAACCAUAAAACACAGUAACGAAUAUUCAAUGAACUUAUUAACUCAGAUCAAAGUUACUAAAAAUAUAAAAUUAUGUACACAGAAACAAGAAAAGAAAAAAAGAAAGAGUUCAAAAUACACAAGAUUUGAAGCUGAAAUCAUCAGAAAUCAACAAAUGAAGAAAUUGUUUCUCAAAAGGAAGAAAACAUGAACUCAAGAAAAAGAUAAUCCUAAAAGAAGCAACCAAGAGGUCAACAUACCGAUUACCGUGAUAUGCCCUGAAUCAUUCAUGACAAUAGCAUCGACCAUUGUUGAUGUAGUUUUACGAUGCUUAGUUUAUUAUGAUGAUACCAAAUCCGUAGGAAGGCCUCGAAAAAAUUGUUUGCCUUGGAUUUGGAACUCAUUGUGAGGGUUUCUUGUUGUAUUGAAAAUCCAAUUUUCCUGUAGUGUCGAUUGCAUGUUUGAGGAAGUAAAUUCGAUGAAAUCACAGAUUUAGUUUUUUCAAACUCUUCACGAAACAUGAAAUUUUAACCACGUCUUUCAGAAAACAUUCUAAGAAAAUGAUUACAAAUAAGUUGGUAUUGGUUCUGUCGAGACAGGACCAUCGAGUCAUAGUACAAUAGUAACAUACACAAUAUGAACAUGGUCGAUUGCAAUCAAGUUGUCCCAAUAAUAACUAUGCCCCAUUUCCAAGACUAAUUCACAUGGUCGGCCGCAAUCCAUUUAUGUAAUUAUGCGAACAUUUCACACAAUAAAUUAGGAAUAUUGGUAUGAACUUGAAACCAUAAAGUCAUAUUGCAUUAUCAUAAUAAUUGAUAUUUGAUAGGUACUGUCGGUCCAGAAGGGUUUCAAAAUGAAUAUUUCAAUUAUACGGGUGAAGUGAACAAGUAACUAUCAUGUAUUGCCAAAAAUCAUCAAACAAUUGGCAAGUUACAUUUUUAAACUUCAACCUUCUAUGGGAAGAAUUUAUAAAUGGUUGAUGUCGAUGACAAAAAAUGAUGUGGUACUUUUAGAUCAAUUUAGAGGAUUUUUUAAAAAAUCAUCAUGUUAUUAUUUUUGGAAUAUUAGUAUAAUAUAAGGGCAUAAUUUUCAAGAACUUGAAUACAAGUGGUAUAGAGAGAUUUUUAAUAGUUCAGUCCUUCUUUUUUGGACCUUUGCCCCUUUAUAUAGCCCUUUAAAUUGGAGCUUGUCGACUUGCCGCUAUAAUCAUAACAAGCUACAAUGUCUGAUCGAGUACGUGCGACAUCAUCCUGUUUAGAAAGAUUUGAUUGGUUGAAGAUUUCGAUUGCAAUGUGGUCAUCAAGAUACCUUGGGUGUUGCCCCAUACAUUAUAUAAUUAUGAAUUUUCUUUGAUCGAUUUUUGCGGUGGCGUUGCUACCCAAGGGGAACACCUUUUCAAUCAUGUCAUAAUUAUGUUUUCAAAUGACAUCUCUUAUGUGCCGACCUCUACGAGAGGAAUCUUGGGUUGACCUUUCGUGUUGUCAUAUUUGACUUUGAUGAAAAGGAUCAUUCGAUCAAUGUGGGCUCCCAAGUUAUCCGACGUGUAUUAUUGGUAACCAUCAGCUAAUUAAAUAUAGAUAGAAAUGAAUAAUGGAUAAAAGUUGGUAGUCCUUGGGAAGUCUACUAAAAGGUGUAAUUAAAAAUAAAGUUUGACUAUUUAUAAUAAUUUAUAUUAAUUCUUCCUAAACCUCACUUGAACAAAUAAAGCAACAUGAAUUCUCGAAAUAUCACAGAUCACCCAAAUAAAAAUGAAAAUUUCACUUUCAACAAACAAUCUUGCGGUUUGAUCCAUGAUUGGUUGGAAAAGUAUAGGUGGCCGUACUAUAAACAAGGAGGUUCAAUCAAGUGUGCUUCAUUUGAUUUGGCGCACAUAACAUCAUAUUAUUGUGGAGCAUAAGGAAAGAUUCAAUACCUUAGUGUUUUCACAAGGGCCAUGGAAGUUUAACGAAUAUAUCAUUGUAUUAGUUAGCCAAAUUUGGCCUCCAUUUCACCGAACUUCAAAUUUAGCCCUUGUUUGACUUCCAUUAUUUUGGAAAAAUACAUUUUUCAACAGUGUUUUGAUAUUAUUUCAACAAUACAUUCUUUAAUAAAAUAAUAUUAUACGUAAAUUCAAAAUUUUUCUUUAUUUUUUAACUACACAUUCCCAUCAAUAGACUAUUCAAAAAUUCACUCUUCCCAAAAAAGGGGCUCAAACAAGGGCUUAAUCACACAUUUCAUGAAAUCUAUAAUUUUAUCAACUUUUCAACUACACAUUUACCAAUUUAAAAAAAAGUAAAACCAAUUCUACUAAAAAUCUAAUUUUUAUCCAAACCAAGUACGGGACUAGACUUGAGCAUUUGGUAAACACAUAAUUUCAACCACUAUUCUUUCUGGGUUAAAGUAUGCAAUGUUCCUCUAAUUCUCGAUAGUGAGGUUCAUGCAAGACAUUAGGAUGAGACGAUCAUGGCAGUGUAUUCGUAUUCAGGUAAGAUUAGAUAUAACCAGAUGUUUAAUACAUGGCAUUAGAAUUUUGUUGAAGCUUUACAAACUAAAAUUAAUCUUUUAAUUCUAUGAAAGAUUUCGAGCAUUGUGUUUUGCUUUUGGCUUAAAACAUGUAAAAUAACAUAAGUGAUUUUAAAGUAUUCUAACUGUUUCCCACUUGACCCUGAAAUAUAUUUUCGAGCUGCUACUGAAUUUAUGGAAAUCUAUUACAUAUGUCGCUUUGUCACUUGCUUAUUGAAACGUUAAUGAAUUUGAUGAUGUGACCUACAAAAUUUCACAUGUGACAUGAGUUAGAUGUUAGUCGUCACGUCGCCAAAAUCCCAAAUGAUAAGCUUAAGAUCUAUUUUGUUAAUAAAAAAAAUGAAGAAAACAAAUUCUGAACUUAACAGACAAUAGCCAUCUUCACAAACCUCAAACCCCCAAAUUAUGAACUAGGGUUAUUCGUCCUUCAAUUGAAUUUGAGUAACGGAAAUUGUACUCCCAAUUCAACCCAAAUAUGGGUGAUCCAAUGUGGCACAAUCUUUUGGGACAUUUAAAUGAUAGCACCACACUCGUUUUCAAAACUCAAGAGCUAAAUUGGCUAAAUGUAAGGAUCAUAAUUAUUAUGGAUAACUCGUAUGGCCCAUGAUCUUUUAAACAAAUGAAUAACAAAAUGAUUGCAGUCUUUAACAAAAAUUAAAUACUAUGGGUCUUCAAUUGUAGGACUUACUAAAUUAUAGGCUUUAACUAUUUAAAAAUUAAUUAAAAUUACAUAGAUUUUUCAAAACGAUAUUCAUUUCUAUAAGUAAUUUUGUUUUAUACACCUUUUCAUAGCAAUGCCCGUCUUAAUUUUUCACAAAAAAAAAUUCGUCUACCGUCUCACAUUUCCCAUUUAUAUUCCAUAAUAAUUUAGGAUCUGUUUGGUAGGGAUUAUGACAAUUGAUUUUUUGAUAGUUAGAAAGAGAAGUCGGUCCCACCUAUAAGUGAAGAAAUAAAAAAUGACUGCUAAAAUAGUCAAAUAAACAAACGGAAUUUACCCAAUUGUAGUAAAUACUGCCUCAAAAAUUAAUUAACUACUUGACAUUGUUCAAAAACAACGAUUUCCACCUAUCAUCCUCGAAAUCAAAAUUUUCGUCAUAUUCAUCUUCAAACCCGUAAGACAUCGCAUCAUUUUGAUGACCGAAUGUAACAUCAUCGUCGCCACAAGUGAUCUUCAUUAUGAAGAUUCUUCAUCAUAAUUGCCCUAUUCAAAUCUUUGCAUUUUAGGUGUGGUAAUGUUUUCGUUCUGUGAAUGGUCAUUUCUUCAAGAAUCGAGUUUCAAAUCGAUGUGUGCCAUACCAGAACCUUGUUCCUGAAAUGAUAAUUAACAAAGUUAUGGGAAAUAAUAAAGGGAAAAUUGUAGCAGCGGUACUAAAGCUUUCAUUUAUUAGCAGACUUUGCCCAAAUCUUCAUUUUGUGCCAUCGAAGGUCUCAAACCUUUCAUAAAUAUGCAGCCGAAGUCCAGAUGGAUGGAAUCCAUCCAUUUCACCGUUAGUUGACCAAAGAACUGACUUUGACUCCAAUUUUGACCAUAUUAGUAAGGGCAAAAUAGUAACUUGUAUAUUAUCCCAUUAAUUAAAUAAGUUAAAUAGAUAAACCAUAAAAAAAAUGAAAGAAAGAAAAUGUGGGCAUCAUCUUCUUCUCAACCCCCCCCCCCCCACCCCCCACCCCCACAAUCCAAAUUGCAAAAGUUUUGAAAAUCAAGAUGAUGGUACGUCCAUCUUCAAAAUAAACUUCCUGCAAUUUUCUUGAUUGAUCUCUUGUUUUCAACUUUUUGGUCUUUUUAGGUGAAUACAUUUUUAUUUCCUUCUGUCUAAAAAUAGAACACCCAAAAAAGAAACACCAGAUUUCAAUUUGGAGAAAUUGAUGAGAAGAGUUUGGAUCGAGUGAUCAUGUUACCUGCAAGAAACUUCAGCUUGGUCAUUUUAACUAUCAAGGUUGAGAAUAAUCCCAUUUGUGCUGAGAGGAACCUCGGAUCCAUAUCUUCAUUUCACUAAAAGGGAAAAAAAUUGGAUUUAACAGGAAAAAAUCAGAAUAAAUAAAAGGGGAAAUUGGACAAGAAUCGGGCUUUUGAGUGGGAUGGAGGUGGAGGUGGAAGCGGAAGCGAGAGUAGGGUGUGGUGUUGAGUUGGAGAAAGAAGGUUGGAGUGGGGGAUGGUGGUGGCCGGCACCAUGACGAUGGUCUGUUGCAAUUUAGAUUGGGGAGGGGGGGGAGAGGGGAGGAAGAAGAUGAUGCCCACAUUUUCUUUCUUUCAUUUUUUUUUUUAUUUAUGGUUAUCUAUUUAAUUUAUUUAAUUAAUGGGAUAAUAUGCAAGUUACUAUUUUGCCCUUAUUAAUAUGGUCAAAAUUGGAUUCAAAGUCAAUUCCUUGAUCAAUUAACGGUGAAAUGGAUAGAUUUCAUCCAUCUGGACUUCAGCUGCAUAUUUAUGAAAUGUUUAGGACCUUCGCUGAUACAAAAUGAAGGUUUGGACAAAGUCUGCUAAUAAACGAAAGAUUUAGUACCGAUGUUGCAAUUUUCCCAAUAAUAAAUGCAAAGAAUCCUUUUUCGAGUUACAUGUUUGUAUUACACUUUCUGACCCAAUGAAAAUGAAGCCUAAACAAGAGUAGAAAACACUUACCAUAUCAUCAUUUAGAAGUCUCAAAGCAUCAUAAUUGAUUCAUGUCGACAUCACAUGUAAAAUACAAAACAAAUAUACUCCAGUUCGCUCGUAGGGAUUGAAAUCAUCAUACAACAAGAAUUUAACAAAUAACGAAAGACAAUAAUUUCCCUAUUACUCUUAGCCAUGUCUUGAGCUUUACAUUGUACUGUGGCAAACAGAAAGAGAAAAAAGAAUUCCCAUUGAAGCCUAAUUUAUUACCCGCUGUUCCAAUUUCUCGGUGGUUUUAACAGCUUUCCGAGCAGAGGUAGUUUUCUUUGUUUCAGUUUCUGCUUUUUGUUUUUCUUAACCUGAAAUUUAUCACCAAUUUAGACAGCAGUCAAAUUUAAUCCCAAAUUGAAAAGUUCAAAUCUUACAGGGAGGAAAAAGUAUGAAAAGGAAAGUUGAAACCGGCAAGUCGCAAUAUCAUAAGCUGUCAAUGUUAACAUCAGUAUCGAUAAAAUGUAAGGGCCCUAUCGAUAUUUCAACAUCAGCUAAGAAAUGUUUAAAGACUACUAAAAUGCUUAAAACAGGGUUUCUCAUUACAUUUUGUAUAACAAAUAAUUAUGAGACUUGCCAUCGCUAUACUUAAGUUGCAUGGCAUUGACCAAAAACAUAAACACAGAUAAUGCGAGAUGGAGGGAAGAAAAUAAUAUGGAGUCAUGCACAUUAGUUUCAGGGAGAAUUUUACUCACAUAGUACUGCCAGAUAGUUUGCUGUCUGAAGAAAUCUCGUUUCACUUUCUCUUCAAAUAAUUUAGUUAAGACAAUGGUGCUGCGUUUACUGCCUCAUUGAACAUAAUUUCAUAAGUUGGAAUUUGCUAAAAAUUAAUUCUUUUAAAAAAUUAGUUUUGGAGACAACACAAAAUUCUUCAAGAUACGUAAGCUUUGGAGGUGAAACUAGACAUUUCAAAAACAAAUUCUCCAAUCAAAUCAAUCUGAUCAAAUUUCUUCUUUAAAUGUUAUAAAUAAAUACGUCCAUAUGCCAAACUCAACCAAUAAAUGGGAUGCAUUAAUUUGGGAAAUACCUCAAAUUGACCUAAGUAAAGGAAGAAUCCCAAUAAAUUAAGGAUAUCCUGUGCAAAUAUGACAAAUCCUUUCAUUAAGGGUAUUAUAGACAUUUUACCAAAAAUGAAUAAUAGUAGGCCAUUUAUAAAAAUCUCCCCAUUAAUUUCUAUGGUUUAAAAGAAAUAUUGAUCCCAUAUUGUGACUUAAAGAAGACAAUAUCAUAAUAUCAUCUUAUAGAGACUAUUUUGCACAAUCGGAACUAAUAUUAUAUUUAUUCACAUUUUACAUUCUCCCAUAAUAAUUCAAGGACAUAAAAGAUCAAUUAUCAUGAUGGCAGGACAAAUACGUAUAGUUCAAUAAUUCUAUCGGCUAGCACCUAUGUGAGAGCUAGAAGCCUAGAAUCUAUAGAUUGUAUGUUAAAGUCACAAAAAUACAUAAAGAGAAAGUGAGCAUCCGAAUUAACAUAACACUUCAUCCUAGCCUACUUGUAGAAUAGAAAGAAAGUAAAAUAAUAAACAGACAAAAAGGGGAAGGAAACAGGAAAAAUAUGCCCAUACAGAGGAACAAGGUAAAAGAACACAAACCACACCUUAAUUGAGCUAAGAUUAGAUGAAAUGUAAGAAAACAUUGAGGUGAUGCAAGGCUGGUAAGAUAGUCCAAUAACAUCAAUCAAACCAAUUGUAGACUAGAAAUUCUGCCAAAUUACCCCAAAUGCAAGCAAAUCUUGAAGAGUAUUAGUAAACAAGGCUUUACCUUUACAUGUUCUUUAAUCAUGGCUUCCCAUAACAUCCUUUUCAAAUAAGAUAUCCAACAAUCUGAAGAGCAUAAAAAAUUGCUUAAAUGCUUCCCCAACUCAUGUGUCUAGUGAUAAAUGCUUGAUUCCCUAUCAUAUUCUGAAAUAUGGAUCCUUUUCUUUUUCAGGAUAUGAAAUUCUAAAUGACUUAUCAGCUGGUGAAAAUGUUAGAUAUUAUCAACGAACGAAAAAAUUUCGUUAAAAGAUUUCAGCAGAGUACAGGACUAAAGAAGAAGCAUUAGAAACUUACAGGGUGCAUAGAAGUUUUGAUUAUUCAAACAAAAGUAAAGGUAUUCUAAUGGAAAGCAUGAAAGUAAUUUACCAUCAUAAAAAACACUUGUGAGAACCAUUGCCAGAGUUUAAAUGAUAAUGCAUGUGAAACAACAAUGCAUAUGCCUCAGAAUCAUCAAUAUCGGAAAGACUUUCUGAGCCAUCAGAUUUAUUUCUACUUCUUUUCUUGUACCUUUGUUUUUUACCAGAGUUAGUUCUUUUCUUAGUAACUAAAACUUCUGCAGCUAUCCAUUGUCUUAGCACAAAAGAUUCUGCAUAAGAAAUUUCAUACACAAAACUCAUGAGAACAACAUUAAAGAUUACAGCCAGUGCUCUCAGUUGCAACAUUGCAGGUCACGUAGCAACUCCACUCGACGGGAAGUCUCAACUUCCACCGUCUACAAAACAGAUAAUAUAAAUAAGAAAUGUGAGAUUUACAAUAACUAUGAUCUAUUUUAUAUGGCUUCUAGUUGAAUGAAACCUUACAAGGACUUUAUCAGCAUGAUCUUACACUUUGAUAAAAGAAUAAAGUUCCCAUAAACCAACACCCUGCUGGUGAAGGAAUCAGCUCUUGAUAUCAUAUUUGGAAAAAAAAAAAAAAAAAAAAAGUUUCCAAAAACCCUCUUUUAUUGAAAAAAAUAAUAAUAAAAACACAGGAGAAAAAUUGAAAAAACCAAUGAGACUGAUCUUCAAGCAAAUAAAUAACUCGGGAAUUUUUGCUAAUCAAUUUGGACAAAAACAGUAAAUGACUGCCUAUACACUGAAAUAGUAAUAUCACUGCGUAGAAUAAUCAACGCGUAUACAUUCAUCCAAUCUUAGAAAUAUUUAACAAUUUCAUGAGCUGAAAAUUCAUGAAAAUAUACGAGUUGCAAGGGAGUAAAAGGAAAGAAAGAAAUUACGCGCACAGAUGCUUCAAAGGGUUUUUGGAACUUUGAGUAAUCUUCAUCGAUAGAGAAAUACCGCUGAAGUUUCAAAGUGGAUAUGCGCAGAGUAGUUUUAAGUGGAACCCUUGACCUCAGAAUAUUACCGUUAGCAAUUCAAAAAUUAGCACCGACUCAUUCUUACAUAAAAAAAAAUUUUACCGUUAAAAAACCAAUCUUUGCACCUCUCUUUCCCUCCAAAAACACUCUCUACUGAACUCUUUCCGCAUCGAUCAAAAUUUUCUCUCCCUUUUUCAGCCAUGACGAAGUCUAACAACAAUCUGGAGAAGAAAACAAUGGGUCGGCGGAAGAUUGAAAUUCGGAAAAUUGACAGUAAAAACAGUCUUCAGGUUACCUUCUCAAAGAGGCGAAGCGGUCUUUUCAAAAAGGCAGCGGAAACGAGCCUAUUGUGUGGCGCAAAUAUUGCAAUCCUCAUCCAAUCUCCGGGGAACAAAUUUUUCACUUUUGGCGAACCCUCGGUGGAAUCCAUUCUAAACCGGUA
rnacentral:lncRNA from 1 species